GGGCUGCUUAAUCGACUCACUUCUAUGCUCGAUUGGCAGAGCUGAGGACUUUUAAUCCUUAGGUUCGGGGUUCGAAUCCCCGGCGGCCCACCA
rnacentral:tRNA from 1 species